rnacentral:rRNA from 1 species
CCUGGUUGAUCCUGCCAGUAGUCAUAUGC